AUUGAACGCUGGCGGCAUGCCUUACACAUGCAAGUCGAACGGCAGCACGGGGGCAACCCUGGUGGCGAGUGGCGAACGGGUGAGUAAUAUAUCGGAACGUGCCAUAGAGUGGGGGAUAACUAGUCGAAAGAUUAGCUAAUACCGCAUACGAUCUACGGAUGAAAGUGGGGGAUCGCAAGACCUCAUGCUCUGUGAGCGGCCGAGAUCUGAUUAGCUAGUUGGUGGGGUAAAGGCCCACCAAGGCGACAAUCAGUAGCUGGUCUGAGAGGACGACAAGCCACACUGGGACUGAGACACGGCCCAGACUCCUACGGGAGGCAGCAGUGGGGAAUUUUGGACAAUGGGGGCAACCCUGAUCCAGCAAUGCCGCGUGUGUGAAGAAGGCCUUCGGGUUGUAAAGCACUUUUGGCGGGAACGAAACGGUUGGGGCUAAUAUCCCUUGCUAAUGACGGUACCCGCAGAAUAAGCACCGGCUAACUACGUGCCAGCCGCCGCGGUAAAAC
rnacentral:rRNA from 1 species